GAGGGUAGAGCUCAGUAGUAGAGCACGUGCUUAGCAUGCAGGAUGUGCUGGGUUCAAUCCCCAGUACCUCCA
rnacentral:tRNA from 1 species